CUACGGGUUGCUGCAGUGGGGAAUAUUGGACAAUGGGGGAAACCCUGAUCCAGCAAUGCCGCGUGUGUGAAGAAGGCCUGCGGGUUGUAAAGCACUUUCGGUUGGGAGGACUGCUUCUAGCACUAAUAUUGUUGGAAGUUGACGUUACCUUCAGAAGAAGCACCGGAUAACUCCGUGCCAGCAGCCGCGGUUAUACGGAGGGUGCAAGCGUUAAUCGGAAUUACUGGGCGUAAAGCGCGCGUAGGCGGCUAGAUCAGUCGGGUGUGAAAGCCCCGGGCUUAACCUGGGAACUGCAUCCGAUACUGUCUAGCUUGAGUACAGGAGAGGAGAGUGGAAUUCCACAUGUAGCGGUGAAAUGCGUAGAUAUGUGGAGGAACACCAAUGGCGAAGGCAGCUCUCUGGCCUGAUACUGACGCUGAGGUGCGAAAGCGUGGGGAGCAAACAGGAUUAGAUACCCGUGUAGUC
rnacentral:rRNA from 1 species